rnacentral:rRNA from 1 species
GAUGAACGCUGGCGGCGUGCUUAACACAUGCAAGUCGAACGAUGAAGCCCAGCUUGCUGGGUGGAUUAGUGGCGAACGGGUGAGUAACACGUGAGUAACCUGCCCUUAACUCUGGGAUAAGCCUGGGAAACUGGGUCUAAUACCGGAUAGGAGCGCCUACCGCAUGGUGGGUGUUGGAAAGAUUUAUCGGUUUUGGAUGGACUCGCGGCCUAUCAGCUUGUUGGUGAGGUAAUGGCUCACCAAGGCGACGACGGGUAGCCGGCCUGAGAGGGUGACCGGCCACACUGGGACUGAGACACGGCCCAGACUCCUACGGGAGGCAGCAGUGGGGAAUAUUGCACAAUGGGCGAAAGCCUGAUGCAGCGACGCCGCGUGAGGGAUGACGGCCUUCGGGUUGUAAACCUCUUUCAGUAGGGAAGAAGCGAAAGUGCCGGUACCUGCAGAAGAAGCACCGGCUAACUACGUG